CUUAAACAAUCUACUAGUAAAUAAAUCUUCAUCGUGCGGGGUCAGCAUAAGGCGUGACCGAGUUGGUGACAAUCUCUGGUAUAAACAGUUACCAUAAAUUCCGGGAAAUUAGAAUUUUUUCCUAUACGGCAAUGUCUUCUCACCAUCGAGCAAUAAUUCAAAUUACCCGGAAUCUAUUACAGCCGGGUUUUGUCACAGAUGCCCAGCUGAGUGCAGGCUAAUUGUGACUUCGCACGGUGACGAUUAAUUACCCGAUCAUUUUACAAAAAAAAUAUAUUUAAGUUUCCGGCAAGAUUAAGCUUAGUGAAGAAGCAACCGCGGCUUGUUAACAGCCAGGCCCUAACUUGCAUAAUUGAUCCCUGCACAAAAUCUACCACAAACUUUUUAAUCACAUAGGAACGGAAAUGUUUUUGUUUGUUUGUUUGCUUGUUUGGUCUGUUACCAAAUUUUUCAGUAAAGUAAACAGCGAAAAACAUUGGAUUUUGAUAAGCAAAAAAAGCUACAUUUUACAGCAAAAUGCAAAGCCUUUUGCUUUUUGUACCCUUCUUGUCCCCUGCCAUUGUUUAAUAUUGUUUGACAAAAAGCUCAAUAAUUUCAAUUGAAUCAACCAAAAUAAAAGUUUUUGUUACCGCAAGCAUUAAGUUCCCAGCUAUAUUCCGUAGUCAUUAAUUCUUAAUCCCAUGAAUCAAUUAAUGUAUUACAGAACUGGUAACCUUCCAACUUAUUCAUUGAACUUAUACAUGUAUAUUUGUGACUCAUAUACAUAAUUACCAUUAUUAGCAUCACCCUGAUAUCACCCUGAUUUCCGGUCGAUUUUGAGUCAAUAAUGACGUCAACCCAGAUUGCGGUGAAAAUUCUCCUCUACAUCUUCAUCAUGACGAAUGCAUUACAGGUAGAAUCACGAAGUUGCCAGAUUGGUGGGGAUUUUGCAUGUUCUGGGUCUUGCUUCUUGCAUGGGAGCACUGGUGAAGCUUGUUAUAGUGGAACAUGUUAUUGUAUGUCACACGUGUUAAGAGCCUCUGUCUCAACCGGAAUCGGAAAGAAAGUUGCAAAUUAAAUAUUUCUGGGGGUAUUCAUGGUUAUUGUUUUGUAUUGAGUAUUGUAAAAUAGUUAUUUCUUCCAUUAAUUUUUCCAUACGACGAACAUGUUGUAAUGAUAUGAUGGAAUCGUGAAUAUUUGGAUGAUUUGUGUUACUAAAGGUCGUUUGAGUACUGGUCCAUGCUUUAAAUAUCAAUGUAAAAUAAAAUUUUUUCCAAGUUAAUUGACGAUGUGGGAAUGAAAAAGA